CUCACCCCCUCCCCUCUACACCCAUCUCGCCGGCAGGCGUCUCCGCGCUAUCGAUCCAUCCAUAAGCCAUCUCUUCUCGUCCCUCUCCGGGGAGCAUCGAGUGGCCUCACAAUCUCUCCGAUCUCCAUCGGACGGAUGGAAUCGACGAAGAAAUCGGCAACAACGAGCUUUUCCCCUCUUCUCGGAAUACUAGUGCAAGAUUUGGACGGCACUCAAGAGAUUGACACCCCCUAUCCAUUGCACCGUCCGUCGUGCGAUCCACAGAACUAGCGGAAUACGCGGCAGGGGCGUCACGUCGUCCUCAACUUGGGGUUGAUUAAUUGGAGACCCGGACCGUUCUUUCUUGACGAUGCUUUGAGGGUAAUUUAGUAGUUGAGAUCUCCCUUGGAGCCUCGAGAAAGAAACAUCCAACGACGUCAUAGAUGCUGGACACAGUACUGCGAAUAUGAUGACGUGGUCCACCUGUCGGGCGGUGAGGACCACCUUAUCGAUGCCGGGCGAUAACCGCCACCAGCGAGAGCCUGAUACGCUUUAAUACUCGUGUCCGCCGGGAGACGUACGCACCGGGCUACUUGACGUCGCCGAUACCUCACUGCCGUUGGAUUGCGGUGGGUCCCGCUGUCCUCUCACCCGACACGGUGCGUAAAUUGCUCCUUUGUCUCUGCUCCGAGCCAGGACCGACCUCAUGCGAUCGAGUCCUUUCGUCUACAAUGCCUUUUUUUGGCGAGAACUAAGGCUUUGUUCACGAAACUACUCAUCUAGAGGUCUCGGAGUAUACGCCUCUAGUUUGAUGAACUUUUUUUUUUUGUUUGUUUUCUUAGUUUAUUUAGAUGACUCUGAGCUCUAGAGUCGCCUGUGAAGUGGUUCUCAAACUUCGAUAGAUCGCACUUCUUCUGUCUUAUUUUAUCGGAGAUACGUUGGAUCCUACUUCGAGCCAUAAAGUUUGACUUCCCAGUUCCCAUGGUUUCUCUGCAAA